CCGCCCGCCCCGCCGCUCCCCCCGCCCGCCCCGGCGCCCCCAGAGGCAGGCAGGCGGCCGCCGCCGGCUCGCCCGCCGCCCCCUCGCCCUGCCGAGGCGACGUUCCCCUCCUCCGCGGCGCAGCCCCAGGCCGCCGGCAGGCGGGCGGGCCGGGGCGGGGCGGUACCUGCGCCUGAAGUCCGUCUCGAAGGGGAUCAGGGUGCUGGCGUGCUCACAGACAAGCUCAGCAAAACAAGACUCCGGGGGCAUCCAUGAGUUCUCAUAAACACCGUGUCUGUACAGCAAAAUGUCACUGCACCGGACACAUAAAGAAUCCUAAACAAAUUAACUUGUUUGGCAAACUAAAAGAAGAGAAGUUCCAGCUGAGUAUCAAGAACCAGGAGAUUAUUUUUCCACCAGUUACGUGUUACCUGUGCUGCUGCUUUGGGGCUUCCAGGUGUUUGGUGCUGGAGGGGUCACCUGUUGUUGGAAGUGGAGGUUUUUCCUAAAAUCCCUGAGAACUAAUCCUACCUAGGAGGAUCUCUUGAAGUAACUCCUGUGUUGUCAUCUGUUUCAACACAUGCAGAAGAAAAACACACAAAGGUUUCCAUCCUGGGAGCUGAGUCAUUCUCUAAAUCAGGACCGUCAUUCUCCGAACGCAAAAUCUUUCUCUGCAGAACUUAA